ensembl:lncRNA
GGGGGGGGAAGAAAAGACUUCAGGGGCUUUCCAGCUGUUGAAAACAGAUGGCUGUAAACAAAAGACUUAAGAGCUAAUACUUAUAUUUCCAAAAGCCUUUGCUUUGUUCAGGUCACAGCUCUGCUGCUGCAGUGGGGGGAGAGAUUGCAAAGUACAGCUCGUUCCCAGUCAGUGCUAAUCUUGGAGAUGAAGAGCACCUUUGUCUGAAGAGUGCCACCAGUGCUGUUUGGAAAGACUCAUCUGUUGGCACUUCUAAAAUACCUCGUUUGAUAGGAAGACUGGAGAAACUGCAAGUAGCAAAGGAUGCUAAACACCCCUCAGAAAGAAAGGAGUUCUUGGCAUAUUUGUUCUAAGGGGAACUGUGGAGGGAGGAAAAUGUCUUGCAUGAUGCAGUUUUUGUCCUGACACAAGUAGCCCCUGUCAAAGCUGGGCUCCCAGGGCAGCGUGGCUUGUAGCCCCACCACCUCACUUUGACAGCAGGGAGAGACUCUAUGAUUGAGCUCCUGUGGUCCAGGCUGUGUGUUUGGUUGGAGCCAGAGCUGUGUCUUGCAGAGCUGAGGUGAGUGCAGACCAGCACUUGUUGGGACUGAGGUACAUUCCAUCCCCAGCCGUGGCUUUGGCUUGCCCUGGCCCUGCAGCCAGCUCAGCAGCUGGGCUCUGAAAGCAAAUGCAGGCACAGCUGGCUGCUGCAACAAAGCUCCCUGCAAAGACAAUAACUGGUGCAAUGACAACAUCCGUGCUUUGUUGGAUGGCUGGCAACUGCUUCUCCUUAUGAGAUUUGUCUCCUGUCAAGCCCUUCUUAAGAAGAGCUUUGCUAUAAAUACCAAAUUUACCAGCUGCAGCUCAGUCCAUGGUAAAUGCUUCCUCCUGUGCAAAAUUGUCCUUUCAUGAGGCAUUGGUCUAAGCUGGUUGCACUCCAUGCAGAUUUGAAACCUGGUGCACUUUUCACACACAGCUGAUCUCUGAAUUAGACCUGUUAAAUGAAUAUACCAGCUAAUUACACACAAAUCCUAUCAAGGGAUUUUAUUUCUUCUGUCAAAGCGGCAAGCUUGUAAUAUAUGCAGAAUGGUUUAGAAAGCUUUUUAGCAUAACUGUGUUAGGAAGCAGCAACUGUGGUGGUUUUUUACCUGCUGCUCCUGAAAGUGGAUUCUCAAUUCCCAGCCCACCUUACCUGGCCUCGGUGUUUAUACCUGGAGCUUUUCUCUUCACAAGCAACAGAAAGCCAGAAAUUACAGUUAGGAAAGCAGCUCACCAGCUGCUCUGAGGUGACAAAACCCUGCCUGGCAGUACAGCCGUGAUGAGAAAAUGCACACAGGCAGUGGCUGGUCUUUUGU